GUGCUCACUUCAGCAGCACAUAUACUAAAACUAGAACAAUAUAGAGAAGAUUAGCAUGUCCCUUGCACAAGGAUGACAUGCAAAUUCAUGAAGCAUUCCAUAUUUUU
ensembl:snRNA U6 U6 spliceosomal RNA